UGCUGACCGCAGCCGCGGAGCCCGCAGCGCACAUCCCGGAGCACAGGACAAAACCUGUGCCUGCACCGGAGCCCCCAUCCGGCUCCCGCAACACUGACCCCCCUGGGCAGCCUCGGGCACGGGGCACCUGGAAAGCCAGCCCCGGACACCGCGCGGAUUCUGCCUCCCGGAGGUCGGACUGCAUCCUCCCGUCCCGGGCGAGGCACAUCCAGGAGGAGACAAGGAGGCGAAGCCCCCUAGGAUAGGUGAAGACGACAGGCCCUGCCACCUUCGCUGUGGGUAUUAGGGUGGGCUACCUCUCAACCGACCCCUCCGAAAAAGACGGGGCUGCUGCUAUCACCUCCCUCAAACAGCAGAGGAGGUGCCUGGCUGCUUCUAAAGGCAGCUCGCUGUGGCACUUAGUCACUGCCCCUUUCUGGCCCAGGGUAUCAGCUGGACGGGGGACACUACGCCCAGAGCUUCCUUCCUGUUCCGAUGUUUGGCGAACCUGCAGCGCUCCCUGAAGCAGAUGAGAGGGAAGCUGCACUCCCAGAAAGCGCAGUUUUGGUUCAUAUUGAAUGGAUUUAUUGGGGGUGUCAUCGGCAGGCGGAUGACAGAUUGUCAGGUGGGCUACAGCCCUGCCCUCAUCCCCACACCCACAGCCCCUUGGCAGAGCUGCUAGCGGGGUCCUGAAGUGCCUCCUGCUGCUCUGGGAGCUCCGUAAGCCACCUGCUCUCAGCCUCAGGGAUGCCACACCUCUUUCCCCAGCCUCAGCCACGCUCAAGUGAGGCGUCUGCACUUUUAUACAUUCUAAAGGCCUGAACAGGCCGGGCGCGGUGGCUCACGCCUGUAAUCCCAGCAUUUUGGGAGGCGGAGGCGGGCGGAUCACCUGAGGUCAGGAGUUCGAGCCCAGCCUGGCCAACAUGGUGAAACCCUGUCUCUACUAAAAAUACAAGAAUUAGCCGGGCACGGUGGCGCACGCCUGUGUAAUCCCAGCUACUCGGGAGCUGAGGCAGGAGAAUCGCUUGAACCCGGGACAUGGGACAUGGAGGUUGCAGUAAGCUGAGAACACACCACUGCACUCUGGCCUGGGGGACACAGCAAGACUCCAUCUUAAAAAGAAAAGAAAAAGGAAAUUAAAGAAAAGAAAAGAAAAAGGGGAGGGGAGGGGAACAAAUGUUGCUACUAUUAUUCUCCUCAUCAAGACUUCAUACUGGUAAACAUCCCCUUGCUGACUUCAGGCACAUCAGUGUACACGUCAGAAAUGUCCAAACCAUGUCCUCGGAAUAUGCCCAUUUCUAGCGAUGUUGUAACACCUUACAGGACCAUCAUCAAAAGUUUCAUUCAGGUGCAAGGUGCCUGCUGCUGUGACAAGCUGGAAAAUCCAUUGCAUUUCCAGGGUCACCUGUUUGUCAUUAGCUUCAUCAAUGAGACAGCCAGCAUCAAGGUCAAGGUCUUCACAUCCAGGCUUCUCUCAAGCCCCACCAAUGAGCUAAGGUAUUCAACUUUUCCAAGUCACUCACAGGUUUGCUCUUGCACUCAAAGAAACUCUGAGAAUCCCCUACUGCAUUUUAACAUUUGUCCAGUAUUCCUAGUCCUUGGCACAUGCUCCUCCUGGAACCCAACCUGUAAGGUAACCCAACCUGUAAAGUGGAUGCGAAGGUUUAAAGGGUGUCCCCUGGAAUUCAUGUGUUGGAAAUGUGAGCCCCGGUGACGUUGCUGGGAGGUGGGGCUUUUAUGAGCUGAUGAAGUCAUUAAGAGGGAUUCAUGCCUGUCUCCCAGGCCUGGGUUAUAUCUCUUGGGAGGGAGCGAGUUCUCACUCUCACUCACGGCACUGGAUGAGUUACCAAGAGUGGCUGUUAUAAAGCCAGGCGCCCCUCACGCUGUGCCCCUUCUGCAUGCCUCUGCUUCCCUCCCCAGAAGCUGUCACCAUCCUCUUGGACUUCCCGGCCUCCAAAACCUCAAGCUAAAUAAAUAUCUUUCCUUUCUAAAUUA